UGACCGUUCACUAGGCGAGCAGCAGCGGCAGCGGCAGCGGCAGCGGCAGCAGCGGCGCGAGCGGCAGCAGCAGCGGCAGCGCGUCCGAGGUGGAGGUGGGCGAGGAGGCGCGCGGCGUGGUGUGGCUGCCCGACAGCGCCGCGCCGCGCUGCCAGCACUGCCGCAACCCCUUCUGGCUCGCGCGCCGCCGCCACCACUGCAGACUGUGCGGCGGCAUCUUCUGCGGCUCCUGCUCAGAGAUGAGCUCGUGGGGCGAGGUGGGCGCCGUGCGCGUGUGCCGCCGCUGCCGCGCGCUGCGGUGACCUCCGCCCGCGCCCCCCGCGCCCCCCGCACACCCCGCGCACCCCGCCUCCCCGCGCCGCUCCGACAUGUAGCCCCCUCCCCACCUCGCCCCUCGAGACACCAACCCCCUCCACACAAUAUCGUACGCAGAGGUGACGGUCCACAGAGAACACGGUGCGCAGGGUUGAUGGUCCACCGCGAUAUAGUUCACAGCGAAGACAGACCGAUGAUAUUAUGGUGCCCAGGGACAGCCCCACGAUAUGGUACGCGCUGAAGAUAGUCGCCCUUAAUACGGUAUACAGAAAAGAUUCCGUUUACAUAGUUUACAGAGGUCAUCGAUCUCGGCGUAGUCCAUAAACAGCCACCAGAAGAAUUACUAUAAAUAGCUCAAAACCUCCACCAGAAAAUCUAUCAGCUAAAAGACCAUCCGGGUCUCUGUGUCAUAAUUGGAUUAAGAGGGGGGCUAUUUCCUUGCGAAACUAACUCGUGCAUCAUAAUGACUCGAUUACUUGUGAUAAUUGCAAUUGGACGACCAGUCGAGCGAUCGAUUCAAAGAUUUGUUGUCGCUGUUUUCCCUCUGCAUACCGUCAUAUGGAAUUAGUACGCUAAUUUGUGAUAACAGUGAUAUGGUUGGACGACUAUUUGACAAUUUUCAUAUGUAUAGACUAUAGACAACUUACUAAACAGAACAUUUGUAAUCUAUAUUGGACGACUAGUACAGCGAUCGAUCUGAGGAUUUAUAGUCUGUACGUUAUAAAAGAAUUUGCGAAUGCACUACUGUAUCUAAACUUGUCGAGCAAUCAGUUAUAUUAUUAUUAUUUAUAUGAUUUUUCCAUACUACUUAUAUAGUAACUAUGUUUGUCGACUAGUCGGCCAACUUGUAACACAACUAGUUGUUACAAUCAACCUACUCAGUGUAUCGUUAAAGUUUGUGAAAAGCGUACCAAUCGAGCAACUAUAUGAAAGAAGAAUCGAUCGUUAGACCCGAGCAUAUGUCUCAUUUAACUGAAAUAAAAUAGAUACAGUCUUUACGCGUUUCGGAUACUCAAACUUUACUCAAUUUUGAGUCAAUAAUUCUAUCAAUAAUUAUAAGAUCGUAAAAAUCUGAUUGACGGCGUUAUGAAGUUGAGUCUGAGUAUUCGAAAGAUAAACAUCAGGCAUUCACGCUUAAACAGAUUGUUAAACGCACGACGUUCACGAAAUAUAGAAUUUAUAUUGAAAUAUAUAAAAUAUUUACCUCAUUAAGAAGCAAUAAUCGGUUACCGUGGCUUUUUCAAUUUUGUACAAAUAUAUACUUUAUUAAUAUGAUAUUGUAUUUAUAGUAUAUUGAUAUACUAUUCGUGACAGACGUCCGUUAUUUAUUGAUGAAUUCUAUUUGCUUGGUCACAGAUUAUACAACAACACCAAUGUUAACAUUAGUGGGAAUUUAUUUAGUGUACACACUUCCUAAUAUACACCUUUGAACUACGUCCUUUCAAUAUUUACGAUACAUUCUAUAAAAGCGCAAUAUUCGAAAUUUUUAUUUGAGAUUUCAAAUCAAAAACUAAAAGGUUUUUUCGUAUAGAUGACCAUUUUCUUUUGACAUUGACAGAAGUCAAUGUAUUGACAGAUAUUUGUAUCUAGCUGCGUCAGAUAGGUUUACAUUAAAAACCUGUUUAAUUUUAGGCAGGGGGGGCUACCGUGACGUGUUAAAGCAGUACUUAUUCCAGUGUGGAAAAAGGACAGAGCAAAAUAAGUCGAUAAGACAGAUUAGCAUUGCUUUAAGAUGUAACAGCAACCCUCUUCGUUAUAAAUUACCUACAUUCAUACGCAUUAUUGAAUUAUUUCCAUCGAAAUACUAAAACGAUAGUGAGGACGUAGUUCAUUGAAUGCUAGUCAUCUUGAAUUUAUUCCUAAAUGUCCAAACAUCGAUCAUGACAAUUAUUAUGUCACAGUGUUAAGUGAGGAUCUAUAGUGACAACACUUGCGUUAAAAGUGAAAAGUUAACGAAUUUUUGUCCCUCAUAAGAUAUCGUAUAAUGCUGUCACUGUAGACAACAAAGCACAGUGCGUGCAAACGUGUGAUGUGAUAUGAACAAAAUUAAGAUAUGCCUUAUCUAAAGAAAUUAUGACGGUUAUCAUAAUAAAUUAAAUAUUUUAGCCACACUUUUAAUGUCUAUCGAAUGGGGUUCGGAGUGUCUGCGGUGUCACUUCGGCUUGCGAUCGACUAGGAAUGAUUAGCGCCUUGAGGUGCUUAUGUAAAUUGAUCCCUUCGACGAUUAAUUAUAUCUUCGACAAUGCCUUAAAGAUGUUUGGAGUUUGACGUUUGUCAUUCAAUAGGUUAUGUCAAAAAUCAAUAGCCCAAGGAGUUGGCAUCGUUUCUUGGUUUAGAAAUGGGAUGUUGUCAAGUUUUUGCAUUUUAUUUAGGUAAUGCUAUUAUAUCAAUAAAGUGGAGUUUAAUAGCGUAUUAAUUUGAAUAUCGUACAGGUUAAUUUAAAAAUCUUUCAAUAAAUAUGAAAAAAACGAUAUCGUCGUAGGGAUGAAUCGGUGCGUUAUGUCGUGACGCUAUUUAAAAAUAGUCGUUCACGAGGCGUGCGAUACGACGUCGUAUCGUCGCGGUGUUGACCGGCGCGAGCAUAGUGAAUGUUAGUACGAAGGCUGAUUUUGAGCUGUAUUUUUGUUGAUCGAUGUACGAAUGCGAACUAUAUAGACUGAUUUAGAUGUGCGCGACAGUGACUCGACAUCGAAAACUAAAUGUCGUUACGUUGAACGGAAUUAAGUAAAGACAUUUUUUUUUUUGUAAAGUUUUGUUUUAUUUUUGUAUAAUAGCGUUUCUUUAUGUUCUAUACGUUUUGUACAGUUGUAUUGCGUAGUCGUAUUCACAUCUGCCAAAUCGACUCGGAUAUGUUAGUUCGUUCCGCUUGCGCGGAAACGGUUAUCUGUGUAAAUUCAUGUUUCUUUCUACUUUAUUUCGCUUUGUAUAAUGCGUUAUAUUUAUAACCGAGGUGUCGUUAAUAUAGUUUGAAUUUAUAUAUAGUUUUAACGAUGUAUCAAAAUUAUGUAUUUGACAAAAAUUAAGUAUUCCGGUAUAUGAAGAUUUAGCGCUGAGUUUAUCGAUUUUUUGUGAUAUUGAUGAUAAUUUUGUAUAAUAAUAAGAGUUUAAUAACAUGUUAUUAGAGGUUAAAUUUUACUGGUCAUAAUUUAAGCGUGCUCGUUGAGUUUGCGAUUAUUGUUAAUAACAAUAAUUUUAUAUGUAUAACGCAUGGUUUCCGAAUGCCGAUCAAUUAUUUGUUGUAUAUGAAUAUUGGUCUAUUUUUAAAUGAAAUUAUAACAAACCGCUUAUUAAUUUGUAAAGGUGGAGAGAUUUCAUAGUUUACAAGCUGCCAAAACUUAAUGAAUUAUAAUAUUUAUAUACCUACUACAGUUAAGAAUGACUAUGAAAUUUCGAAACUUAAGUAUCGAUUGAGUUUUAACAGAAUAAUUGUUUCAAGCUUUCAUGAACUUAUGAUGUUUCAGGAAUGAAUUGAGCCCGUAAAUUGUAUACUAAACAGAAUGUUUGUUUAAAUGUCGAUUAAUAAUAUCCUAACAAAGGAAUGCAAUAAUAAAAAUGGCGGUUGUGAUACGUCACGUGUGUGGCGGGAGUUGACAUUUGACAGUUCAUUUUUUUUUAUUUCGUUCUUCUGUGUAGUAUAAAAUGUGCGGGUCGAAAUGAAACAUUAAAACAGAGCUAAUCUUAACCGUUUUAUGUAAAAAUAAAUUAUUUGUGAGCCGGAGAAUGUUGUUAUUUGCAUAUAUUUUAUAUUGUAAUACAAAUUACGGAGCGAUUCAUGCUCCGUUGUCGUGCAAACUUGUUUGUGACCAAUUAAUAUUGACGCAAUGUGAAAUAAAGCAUAUUUAGUUUUAUGAUA
rnacentral:lncRNA from 1 species